rnacentral:rRNA from 1 species
AUUGAACGCUGGCGGAAUGCUUUACACAUGCAAGUCGAACGGCAGCACGGACUUCGGUCUGGUGGCGAGUGGCGAACGGGUGAGUAAUGUAUCGGAACGUGCCCAGUCGUGGGGGAUAACGUAGUGAAAAUUACGCUAAUACCGCAUACGAUCUAUGGAUGAAAGCGGGGGAUCGCAAGACCUCGCGCGAUUGGAGCGGCCGAUAUCAGAUUAGGUAGUUGGUGGGGUAAAGGCCCACCAAGCCAACGAUCUGUAGCUGGUCUGAGAGGACGACCAGCCAAACUGGAACUGAGACACGGUCCAGACUCCUACGGGAGGCAGCAGUGGGGAAUUUUGGACAAUGGGCGAAAGCCUGAUCCAGCCAUUCCGCGUGCAGGAUGAAGGCCAUCGGGUUGUAAACUGCUUUUGUACAGAACGAAAAGGUUUCUACUAAUACUAGGAGCUCAUGACGGUACUGUAAGAAUAAGCACCGGCUAACUACGUGCCAGCCGCCGCAGUAAUAC